ACUUGGUGGCUUCCUCAUCCACA
rnacentral:siRNA from 1 species